rnacentral:rRNA from 1 species
UACGAAGGGUGCAAGCGUUACUCGGAAUUACUGGGCGUAAAGCGUGCGUAGGUGGUUUGUUAAGUCUGAUGUGAAAGCCCUGGGCUCAACCUGGGAAUUGCAUUGGAUACUGGCAGGCUAGAGUGCGGUAGAGGAUGGCGGAAUUCCCGGUGUAGCAGUGAAAUGCGUAGAGAUCGGGAGGAACAUCUGUGGCGAAGGCGGCCAUCUGGACCAGCACUGACACUGAGGCA